GACGAACGCUGGCGGCGUGCCUAAUACAUGCAAGUAGAACGCUGAAGGAGGAGCUUGCUUCUCCGGAUGAGUUGCGAACGGGUGAGUAACGCGUAGGUAACCUGCCUGGUAGCGGGGGAUAACUAUUGGAAACGAUAGCUAAUACCGCAUAAGAGUAGAUGUCGCAUGACAUUUGCUUAAAAGGUGCAACUGCACCACUACCAGAUGGACCUGCGUUGUAUUAGCUAGUUGGUGAGGUAACGGCUCACCAAGGCAACGAUACAUAGCCGACCUGAGAGGGGGAUCGGCCGGACUGGGAGUGAGACACGGCGCAGACUCCUGCGGGAGGGAGCAGUAGGGAAUCUUCGGCAAUGGACGGAAGUCUGACCGAGCAACGCCGCGUGAGUGAAGAAGGUUGUCGGAUCGUAAAGCUCGGUUGUAAGAGAAGAACGAGUGUGAGAGUGGAAAGUUCACACUGUGACGGUAUCUUACCAGAAAGGGACGGCUAACUACGUG
rnacentral:rRNA from 1 species